rnacentral:lncRNA from 1 species
GGACAUGUUGAACAACUGGUUUUUCCUACAUGUCUGUUGCUUCCAAAAUCUUUCUUUUUUUCUUCACAUGCCUGGACUAAGCCCCCAGAAGAAUUUGGAACCACAUAUGUCCUCUCUCUUAAAGUAGAAGAAGAAAACAAGAAGAAGCAUAUUUCUUCCCUCCAAAGCUCUUGUACCAGUGAUGUCCUUAUUGGUUUUAUGCUACAUCCAGCUCAUGUUCUCCAUUUUCUUCUGUGUGAUGCUCAUCUUUUUUUCUUUGGAGAUGAAAAAACUGAGACUCAGAGGAGAUCACAGAAUUUCCAAGCUGGAAAGAAUCUCACUGGCCGUCGAGAGACCAUCCAAACACAUACAUUGAGGAAGAAUCUAUGACAGCAUACCAUGUAGAGAAUCAUCCACUUUCCCAAAGAGAAGCUGGUUGACUUAUACCAUACCUAUACAACUAGUAGGUAUUAAAGUAGAAUUUGAACCUGGUUCUCUUCUGACUCCAUGUUCUUGCCUACUUGACCGUUUUACGUUUAUUAAUCAAUUUGGUGACUGAAAUGGAGAACCACCAGUUUUUUUGUUUGUUUGUUUAUUAAACUAUUUGGAUUAGACAGAGA